GAGGAAAUGGGAUUCGAACCCAUGAU
rnacentral:snRNA from 1 species